ACGAGUUUGAUCCUGGCUCAGGAUGAACGCUAGCGGGAGGCUUAAUACAUGCAAGUCGAGGGGUAACAUGAGAGCUUGCUCUUGAUGACGACCGGCGCACGGGUGAGUAACGCAUACACAACCUACCUCUAAGUGGGGAAUAGCCUUUGGAAACGAAGAGUAAUACCCCAUAGCAUUAUUUCUUUUAUGAUGAAAUAAUUAAAGCUCCGGCGCUUAGAGAUGGGUGUGCGUCCCAUUAGCUUGUGGUAAGGUAACGGCUUACCAAGGCGACGAUGGGUAGGGGGCGUGAGAGCGUGACCCCCCACACGGGUACUGAGACACGGACCCGACUCCUACGGGAGGCAGCAGUAAGGAAUAUUGGACAAUGGGCGAAAGCCUGAUCCAGCCAUCCCGCGUGCAGGAUGACGGCCCUAUGGGUUGUAAACUGCUUUUAGAUAGGAAGAAACCCCCAUUCGUGAGUGGGGCUGACGGUACUAUCAGAAUAAGCACCGGCUAACUCCGUG
rnacentral:rRNA from 1 species